GACAGAGGAGGCAAGCGUUGUUCGGAAUCAUUGGGCUUAAAGGGCGUGCAGGCGGCGGCGCAAGUGUCGAGUGAAAUCCCAUCGCUCAACGAUGGAACGGCUCGGCAAACUGCGUCGCUUGAGGUCGGUAGAGGUGCUCGGAACUCUAGGUGGAGCGGUGAAAUGCGUAGAUAUCUAGAGGAACGCCUGGAGGCGAAAGCGGGGCACUGGGCCGAUUCUGACGCUGAGACGCGAAAGCGUGGGGGAGCAAACAGG
rnacentral:rRNA from 1 species